rnacentral:siRNA from 1 species
UGCGUGCCUGGUUUGUGG